rnacentral:rRNA from 1 species
GACGAACGCUGGCGGCGUGCCUAAUACAUGCAAGUUGAGCGCUGAAGGUUGGUACUUGUACCAACUGGAUGAGCAGCGAACGGGUGAGUAACGCGUGGGGAAUCUGCCUUUGAGCGGGGGACAACAUUUGGAAACGAAUGCUAAUACCGCAUAAAAACUUUAAACACAAGUUUUAAGUUUGAAAGGUGCAAUUGCAUCACUCAAAGAUGAUCCCGCGUUGUAUUAGCUAGUUGGUGAGGUAAAGGCUCACCAAGGCGAUGAUACAUAGCCGACCUGAGAGGGUGAUCGGCCACAUUGGGACUGAGACACGGCCCAAACUCCUACGGGAGGCAGCAGUAGGGAAUCUUCGGCAAUGGACGAAAGUCUGACCGAGCAACGCCGCGUGAGUGAAGAAGGGUUUCGGAUCGUAAAACUCUGUUGGUAGAGAAGAACGUUGGUGAGAGUGGAAAGCUCAUCAAGUGACGGUAACUACCCAGAAAGGGACGGCUAACUACGUG